rnacentral:rRNA from 1 species
GUGGGGAAUCUUCCGCAAUGGACGAAAGUCUGACGGAGCAACGCCGCGUGAGUGAAGAAGGUUUUCGGAUCGUAAAGCUCUUUCGUUAGGGACGAACGUGCUCUUUGUGAAUAAUGAGGAGUAAUGACGGUACCUAAAUAAGAAGCCACGGCUAACUACGUGCCAGCAGCCGCGGUAAUACGUAGGUGGCAAGCGUUGUCCGGAAUUAUUGGGCGUAAAGCGCGCGCAGGCGGGAUAUCAAGUCUGUCUUAAAAGUGCGAGGCUCAACCUCGUGAGGGGACAGGAAAUGGUAUUCUUGAGUGUCGGAGAGGAAAGUGGAAUUCCAAGUGUAGCGGUGAAAUGCGUAGAGAUUUGGAAGAACACCAGUGGCGAAGGCGACUUUCUGGACGAUGUCUGACGCUGAGGCGCGAAAGCUAGGGGAGCGAACGGGAUUAGAAACCCCAGUAGUCC